AAUGCAGGUUGUUCUAUCGCUGUCCCGGUUUACCGGGAGAGAGGAAAGUCCGGGCAACGCAGGGCAUCUCGCUUUCUAACGGAAAGGGGUUCAGGAAUGAAAACCUGAAUUACGGAUUAGUGCAACAGAAAAUAUACCGCCCUGGCUUAGGUCGGGGUAAGGGUGAAAACGUGUGGUAAGAGCGCACGAGCGCUGCAGGCGACUGCAGCGGAUUGUAAACCCCGGGAGUUGAAAGACCAAAUAGGCUAACGCACGUAGGGCUGCCCGUCCGAUGUUAGUGGGUAGGUCGUUAGAGAUAAACGGCAACGUUUAUAGUGGAUAAAUGAUAGAAAUCUUGGGCAACCGAGACACAGAACCCGGCUUAUAGACCUGCAUUUUUU
rfam:Pedobacter kyungheensis strain KACC 16221 contig02, whole genome shotgun sequence.